rnacentral:rRNA from 1 species
UAAGGAAUAUUGGUCAAUGGACGCAAGUCUGAACCAGCCAUGCCGCGUGAAGGAUGAAGGUCCUCUGGAUUGUAAACUUCUUUUAUCUGGGACGAAAACGGGAUUUUUAUCUCAAUUGACGGUACCAGAGGAAUCAGCACCGGCUAACUCCGUGCCAGCAGCCGCGGUAAUACGGAGGGUGCGAGCGUUAUCCGGAUUUACUGGGUUUAAAGGGUGAGUAGGUGGGCUUAUAAGUCAGUGGUGAAAUCUCCGAGCUUAACUUGGAAACUGCCGUUGAUACUAUAGCUCUUGAAUUAUCUGGAGGUAAGCGGAAUAUGUCAUGGAGCGGUGAAAUGCUUAGAUAUGACAUAGAACACCAAUUGCGAAGGCAGCUUACUACAUAUAAAUUGACGCUGAGGCACGAAAGCGUGGGG